UGUAGACUGGACUGUCCUCAAA
rnacentral:miRNA from 1 species